CUGGAUCCUUCCUCUGCCCUUCUCCUGCCUCCCCACCUGCUCCAUGGGCAUAAGACUGUGGGGCUUCAAGCAAUAACAAGCAGAGGCCUGGAGAGAGGACACAAGGAGGGUGCGUGGUGCCCUCACCCCUGCCCAGAGCGAGGGGGCAAGGACUCUGCCUCCAGGGCAUCUGGGGUUUUCCCCUCCCUCACACAACACACUCCCAUUCUCUUUAGGUUUGCACCAGUGGUGUGAGCAGUUGGACUCAGUUUGGACAAGGGGGAAAGGGGGACUUCCCUGGGAAGGUCCAGCUAAAAGUGGCAACAUUUGCCCCCAGAAUUGGGGGCCUGGGAACACUGGACCUGCUCCUUCUCCCCUCUCCUUCCCCGUUUUUGUGCUUCUGGUUUGUUUCUUUAAUUAAUUUAACAAGUGCUGCAGUUUGCCCUCCCAUUCCCAUCUAUCCCCCAAGUCCUUUGCAAUUUCUUCCCUGCCCUACAUAGGGGCGGUGGGUGUGGGAUCCCUUCACUGGCCCCCUCGGGAGGCCUGGGUUGGACUCAGGGUCUCCUCCAGCUGGGGGCUGGACCGCAGCACCUAUCUGAGCAGUUAGAGCGUCUUUCUUUUCAGAUUGUGUACAGUAGAUUAUUUAUUUUGUUAUUUUGGAAUAAAAUUUAUUUUAUGGCUUA
rnacentral:lncRNA from 1 species